UACGUAGGGUGCGAGCGUUAAUCGGAAUUACUGGGCGUAAAGCGUGCGCAGGCGGUUUUGUAAGACAGGUGUGAAAUCCCCGGGCUUAACCUGGGAACUGCGCUUGUGACUGCAAGACUUGAGUGCGGCAGAGGGGGGUAGAAUUCCACGUGUAGCAGUGAAAUGCGUAGAGAUGUGGAGGAAUACCGAUGGCGAAGGCAGCCCCCUGGGUCGACACUGACGCUCAUGCACGAAAGCGUGGGGAGCAAACAGG
rnacentral:rRNA from 1 species